AAGAGACAGCAGUAGCCGCGGUAACACGGAGGGAGCUAGCGUUAUUCGGAAUUACUGGGCGUAAAGCGCACGUAGGCGGCUUUGUAAGUAAGAGGUGAAAGCCCGGAGCUCAACUCCGGAACUGCCUUUUAGACUGCAUCGCUUGAAUCCAGGAGAGGUGAGUGGAAUUCCGAGUGUAGAGGUGAAAUUCGUAGAUAUUCGGAAGAACACCAGUGGCGAAGGCGGCUCACUGGACUGGUAUUGACGCUGAGGUGCGAAAGCGUGGGGAGCAAACAGGAUUAGAUACCCGCGUAGUCCCUGUCUCUUAUAA
rnacentral:rRNA from 1 species